AACGAACGCUGGCGGCAUGCCUAACACAUGCAAGUCGAACGAAGGCUUCGGCCUUAGUGGCGCACGGGUGCGUAACGCGUGGGAAUCUGCCCUUUGCUUCGGAAUAACAGUUAGAAAUGACUGCUAAUACCGGAUGAUGUCGCAAGACCAAAGAUUUAUCGGCAAAGGAUGAGCCCGCGUAGGAUUAGCUAGUUGGUGGGGUAAAGGCCUACCAAGGCGACGAUCCUUAGCUGGUCUGAGAGGAUGAUCAGCCACACUGGGACUGAGACACGGCCCAGACUCCUACGGGAGGCAGCAGUGGGGAAUAUUGGACAAGGGGCGAAGGCCUGAGCCAGCAAUGCCGCGUGAGUGAUGAAGGCCUUAGGGUUGUAAAGCUCUUUUACCCGGGAUGAUAAUGACAGUACCGGGAGAAUAAGCUCCGGCUAACUCCGUG
rnacentral:rRNA from 1 species